rnacentral:lncRNA from 1 species
CAGCUGUUCCAGUUCCUGCAGGCCACCGCCCAGGAAGAAGGGAUCUUUGAGUGUGCAGACCCAAAGCUUGCCAUCAGUGCUAUCUGGACCUUCAGAGACCUAGGGGUUCUGCAGCAGACGCCGAGCCCUGCAGGCCCCAGGCUCCACCUGUCCCCUACUUUUGCCAGCCUGGACAAUCAGGAAAAACUAGAACAGUUCAUCCGGCAGUUCACUUGUA